UACAGAGGGGGCAAGCGUUAUUCGGAAUUAUUGGGCGUAAAGGGCGCGUAGGCGGCCUUUCAAGUGACGGGUGAAAUCCCUCGGCUUAACCGAGGAACUGCCUGUCAGACUGGGAGGCUUGAGACCGGGAGAGGUGAGUGGAAUUCCCAGUGUAGCGGUGAAAUGCGUAGAUAUUGGGAGGAACACCAGUGGCGAAGGCGGCUCACUGGACCGGAACUGACGCUGAUGCGCGAAAGCGUGGGGAGCGAACAGG
rnacentral:rRNA from 1 species